GAUGAACGCUGGCGGCGUGCCUAAUACAUGCGAGUCGAGCGAAUGGAUUAAGAGCUUGCUCUUAUGAAGUUAGCGGCGGACGGGUGAGUAACGCGUGGGUAACCUGCCCAUAAGACUGGGAUAACUCCGGGAAACCGGGGCUAAUACCGGAUAACAUUUUGAACCGCAUGGUUCGAAAUCGAAAGGCGGCUUCGGCUGUCACUUAUGGAUGGACCGGCGUCGCAUUAGCUAGUUGGUGAGGUAACGGCUCACCAAGGCAACGAUGCGUAGCCGACCUGAGAGGGUGGUCGGCCACACUGGGACUGAGACACGGCCCAGACUCCUACGGGAGGCAGCAGUAGGGAAUCUUCCGCAAUGGACGAAAGUCUGACGGAGCAACGCCGCGUGAGUGAUGAAGGCUUUCGGGUCGUAAAACUCUGUUGUUAGGGAAGAACAAGUGCUAGUUGAAUAAGCUGGCACCUUGACGGUACCUAACCAGAAAGCCACGGCUAACUACGUGCCAGCCGCCGCGGUAA
rnacentral:rRNA from 1 species